GUAAGUUAGCGUUCAAGUUAGCUGUUUAUCCGAAUAACAGAGCUUAUCAGUACGAUUUAGCCCCCAAAAAUGUACUCGCGUGGUUCGGGAACAUCUUGCGCUGUUCGUGGAUGUACCAACAGCAAGUGGAAGCUACAUUUGUGGCUACAGGAGCGAUGUUUUUAACACACAUCCCGGACGAAGACAGAGUGUGUCUGUGCACCUCGGUAUAGUUUUCACCGCCUGCCCAAAGAUGAGGAAACUCAACGGAUGUGGCUUAAAAAACCCUCAACUUAAAGAAACCACCCCAAACACUGUACAUGUGUUCCUUCCAUUUCAUCGAUAAAAAGCCCACGGAGGAAAACCCGCAUUCUACGUUGUGGUUGGGUUAUAACAAACCUAUGGAGAAGAAACGCUGAGUGCUGAGGAGGUUCAACAGCAGCGUCACAUCAAUGACAGUGGACACUUGAUCUCCAGGAGCUGUGUCGAGUCUAAAAUGCCAUCUGGACCCAAACCAGGGAUGCUCAGAACACACCACCAGGCCUCUUUGCUCCACAGUGUGGAAUUGACCCUCCAUGAGCUGAAUGGCUUUGUCCUCAUUUUCUUUACCAUAUUUAGUGGCAGAGCUGCCAGUGAAGGUGGGGUGUAAGUGUUCAGUCAGAACUUCUGUGGGUUGGUUGUGAUGUGUUUAGGCACUCAGUGCUGUGUUUGCAGUCAGUCGCAGCUUCAUGUGUGUGAUGCACUUUGUAUUUGGGUCUCUUUGCUCAGUGUCUCUAAUUGUGUUGGGCUUAGUUGAACAUACGUUUCAUAAAAGGUGAUACUUCCUGCAGGUCAGCACUGUGCUGUGCUCUGUAUGAAGCGUAUGUUGGUCACACUGGCUCUGAGAAUACUGAGGAGAGUCAUCUUCUAAUUCUAGUCUGUAGCACUGCUGAAGGGGACCAUUCAUCUGCAGCUGAUAUAGCAGGGCCAUCACAGAAGAACUGAUGUAUGUUUUAAAGUCUUUGUGAUUUUUAAAACGUUUGCUGAUGAUGCACUGGUGUGAUUUGAUGUUGACGCUGAUGAAUCUUCAUGAAUGUGUUCUGCUUUAUGGUGUUUAAACCCUUUUCAGCUCUGUA